CACAAGCAGACUCAACGGCGAGUCACACGCUCAAAAGAAAUAAGCUCCUGCACAAACAAUGCACCUCUCUAAACAAAACACUAGCCUCACACGGAUUAUACGACAUAUGGAGAACCCUCCACCCGAACAAUAGGGAAUAUACCCACCACUCACAAGCACACAACACGUACUCCCGCAUAGAUGGAUACCUAAUGCUUAGCGCACACCUUCACCAGGUCGACACCUGUGAGAUAAGCACCUCAACCAUCUCGGACCAUAACCCGGUGCUACUCACCCUCAUAGACCUAUACCAAUACAAGCAUCGCAGUCCUUGGAGAAUGAACGAACUUCUGCUUAAUGACCCUGAAUUCACGAC